CGCACAACUUCCCCUCCUCUCACGUUCGCACGCAUCCCCAACCUCUCUCCUCUCCCGCUUGGCGCCUCACCUCCCCGGUGCCCCACUGCCUCCUCCCCUCAUCGUCGCCCUCCCUGGCGCCCGCAUCCCGCCCCUGGCAUGCCGUCCGCCCCGCACGCCGCCCCUCACUGUUGGCCCCGACGUCCUAUUGGAAACGAAAGAGGAACCGCCGCCGCAGCCCCGCCCCCGCCGCUGAGGCCUGAGGUUUGGCUCGUCCCCGCCCCGCUGCCGGAGACGCAUCCCUCGAGCACCGCCCAAUAGCCAGAGCUCCGCGCGCGAGAGCCACAACGCCCUGGCCAGCCAGGGACGCGCUUCCCCGCCCCAGUCGCCCCCGGAAACGGACGCCUCGGCCGGCUGCGGGCGCCCUGGAUGGGCUGCGGGGUCGGUGCGGCGACCGCGUGGGAGGGGCCGUCGGGCCUAUAAAUACUCUACCGCCAGGUUCGAUCGACUUAGCUCCUGCUCAUGUCCAUUCCAUCAGAUUGCACACUUGACUUUUUAGUAGCUUCAACUAUACUUCACUAUUAAUCUGAAAUUAAGUGCAAAAAAUAUAUUCUGAUUCACCUUCAUAACACGAAGCUGGAACCAACUGAACAUUAUGUGAGCCGAUUUCAUCAUCAUGACUACCUGUAUAAUCUUGUAUGAUCCUUCAUCGCAAGCCAGGGAUUCCUACUACAAUGGCCAGCCUCUGAUUGUUGAUGACAUGGUUGAAAAAGUUAAUCAGGGGAGCAGGAAAUCUCCGUCCCCGCAUAUGAGCUACCGCCAGCAUCCGCAACGCCUGGUCUGCAUAGCGACUCGCUGCCCCGCCCUGUCCAACCACGUCGUGCCUCUUGCCGUCGGUUGACACACCCUCGUUGUUACCUCCAGCUAUUUUCCCACCUAUAUUACUUGCAACAUUAGGGACUGCUAUAGUGAUUGCUCAAUUGGAUCUGCACAAUCCAACAAAAGAAAUAUGCAAAGUGUUAGCAUCUGCACAAUCCAACAAAUAAUAUCUCAGGCUGCUCCGUUCAGAUGACAGAUGAGCAGCACUGAAUAGCAUCAAAGCAACUAAAUGCAUCUUCUGAGAAGAAAUGACUCCGUGAUAGAGAAUGAUACUCAAUGAUGACAGCUGAACAAAGGGAUGCGUACUUGCACAAUAACCGUGAGUAUAAGAAGUCCAAACACAAGGGCAGUGAUCACUUUUUAGCACUUGAGGGGUCCAGUAGAGGUAUUUCUACUUUCUUGCCCUCAAAAGAAAACAAUGGAAAAGCAUGCUGCUUAUUCACUUUCUUUCUAUAGAUUAACACAUUAUAACAAAUUAACAAUAUCACCAUGCUGAAUAUUUGUUAGUUCCAAUAUUUUAAAUUCAGUUGACCUCAUGAAUUCAGAUUCUUGAGGUUUGUCUCUUCAAGUUGUGAUUGACUGGAAAUCGGGUGUAACAAAGAAAAGGACUGCAAUUGUGCUCCUAUUGCUUAAUAUACCGAGUGAAAGUAAAUACAACGACCUACAAUAUAGAGCUUAUGUGCUUUGCAUGAAACUGAAUGCAUGGCACUGAACAUACCUCUAAUCUCUUAUGUUAUAUAAGUAAGCACAUGAUUGGGAGGAUUGAUAUCCAUCUUGGUUAAUAAAUAAAUAAAUUUUGGCAACAUAAUUUGGGAGAUGCCUAUCUUUUGCAGCAUGGAAGUCGGAUAGUCAACAUGUUCUAGAUCAACAAGACCCUGAGCACGUCUUGACCCCUAACAGAAAAAUAGAGACAUCCCAAGUGAUAAUAGGAAAAGGUAGACUCGGCUCCUCCACUCAUGCUUCUUUGAAUCUCUACAAGCUAAGUUCAGUGCAUGGUUCUCUGAACUACAACCUAAAUUCAGUACAUGCUUCUCCGAAUGUUGGCCUGCCAAUUGAUAUUAUAUUGCAGUCUUCAGAGGAUUGUAUGCAGGUCAUUUAUGCCAAUGGCUUCCUGCUUUUUUAUGUUUUUUUGGACUAUUUGAAUGUAAGGACUAUACAUAAUAUCUUUGACCAUGUACGGCAAAUUAUUUUUUGCACAUAAAAUUCAAUGCAUGCUUCUCUGAAUAUCGGCAAUACAAGUAAGCAAAAUUUGUUCUUAUAUGUUGGCCUGCCAAUAUGUAUUGGCAGCCUUGCAUUCAUGUUUUUCACAUGCCUAAUCCAACUGCCACUUCUGUACUAAAUAAGGUUAUGUUUGAGUUAAAUAACUAAAUGUUGGUUUGCCCCAAGUUUUCUUGUGAUUGAAUUCUGGAACUUACAACAUUACAUAUGGGCAUGGAGUCAUUUUUGGCCAUUUAUGUAACAGUUCAUCACAGACUUUCUGUAGUCGAGAGUAUGUGUGCCUGUACGGGCACCUAAACCACAUUGAUAACUAUAUCCGUGUACCUAUGGUUUCUUUCUUCAGUUUGAUGGACUUAGCUAUCACAUGAGAAUAGAAUUAACAUGUGUAUCUUGUUAUUUGGGGAAUUAUGUUUGAGAUUUCAUUUUUAUCCUAGCACUGGAUUGAAGUUGCGGAUCAGGAAGCAUUUUUUUAUCCCAACAGUGGAUUGAGUACUUCUAAACAUAGUUAAAGAGUAAGGUUGAAGUGUUGGCACGAAGAAACAUAAUAGGAAUUUUAUGAAUAUUGUGCCUUACUGUCAAGAUGAAUAACAGUCGACUCAGGUAGUGUGUGAUUAUGUUUCUCCUAAAGCUAGCUGACCAACAUCUGAACGACUCUGACUGCUGCGUACAAAGUCCAGCUAUAAGGAUCUAAAACAUUGUGUGGAAUUCCGAAAGGUCUUUUCCUAUACUGCAAGACCCUGUUUGGAACAUGAUGAUUUCGUGAAUCAACAACAACACUGUUUCCAGUGACUUUCAACAACUACAUCGUUUCCAGUGAAAUUCAGCAACAACUACAUUGUUUCCUAUCAUCUAGGAAUAUAAAGGCUUUGAUUUUUUUCCCAGUAUAGUUUAGAUUUUCAGGGAACACUUCAACCAAGACAUCGAAGAAGCAAAGAACUUGAUUACAAGGUUCAGGGAGCUCCUAUGCUUUUUGCGAGCAAAGAUGACUUUCAUGCUAGAUUUUCUUUCAAGAUAACAAUAAAGCCUAGGAGCAUCCCUGUCCAUGGAACAAUACUGGAGUGAUAUAGUGCAACGGUCUUGCAUUUCUCAAUGCCUCUAUCUUUAUUUUCAUUGUUAUCGUAAUUCAGUGUGGUAUUUAGAAAUUUAGAAUCCUUGUGCUAUGAUGUUGUGUAUUUUGCAACCCAAUAUACUCUCUUGUUAACUGAAUGUGAUCGUAAUAAUUCAUUUUUAAUCAUUGGUUUA